rnacentral:misc_RNA from 1 species
UUGAAUUCGAAAUUUCACUUUUAACAGACUGUACUGACAAAAUUUGCUUGUCUGGGGAAGAUAUUAGACACAGCGAUAUAGGACAACAUGUGUUUCAUAAUACUUCUGCUUUUGUCUUAUAUUUCUUUAAUAUGAACAACAAUUCUUGUGUUGUUGUAAUUGUUGAUGACUCUACAGGUCUGUUAGAUUUUGAUACUGUAUCAUUUCAUGACCAAGCGUAGCUAGGUAACACACUCACACUCACACGUGAGAGAGA